UACAGAGGGCUCAAGCGUUGUUCGGAUUCAUUGGGCGUAAAGGGUGCGUAGGUGGCGCUAUAAGUCAGGUGUGAAAUCUCGGGGCUCAACCUCGAAACUGCACUUGAUACUGUGGUGCUUGAGUACUGGAGAGGAGAUUGGAAUUUACGGUGUAGCAGUGAAAUGCGUAGAUAUCGUAAGGAAGACCAGUGGCGAAGGCGAAUCUCUGGACAGUCACUGACACUGAGGCACGAAGGCCAGGGGAGCAAACGGG
rnacentral:rRNA from 1 species